AGGAGGAUAGUUUAAUUGGUUAGAAUAACGGUCUCCAAAAUCGCUGAUUAACGUUCGAGUCGUUAUCCUCCUG
rnacentral:tRNA from 1 species